CAAUUUUUUCCUAUCUCAUCCGUAAGUCAAAUAGAAAACACAAAAAGAGAAAGAAAAGAAAAUUUCCCUUUCCACCAUGCGCCGCUUCCUCCUUCACCUGCGAGCUUCUCCAAACCCUCUCCAUCCCUUGUUUCUCUUCACUUUCUUGCUCUCUCUUUUCUUCAUCAAUGAAAGAUUGAUUUUUCUACUGGCCUGGGUUAACUCGUGUAACCAUUGCCAUCACCGACCACCACCACCACCACCGUAACCGUUGACGAUAGCCACCGUUCAUCAUCCUACUCCUUGGACUUCGUUUCCAUCCGAUCCGCCUCAGAUUCGCAUCUCUGUCAUCGUUUGUUCAUCUCAGAUCUACGUCGCCAAGGGCUUUCAACCAGAAUUGCUGCUCUUAUCGCAACACCACACCUCCGUCGCUUGCACCGCCACUGUUCUUGCACGUAGAUGCACAAGAUCAUCGCCGCCGGUUGGAGUUAUGGCUUUUGUCACAAGUUGAGCCCUCAGAGAUAUUUUUGAAAUCUAUAUCGAAUGAAGCCACUAGCGUCGAAGUCAUUUACCCUUCAAGUCUGAAUGCACAAUUUGUUCGCCGAAGAUUAAGACAUAUUGCUAUGAGGUUUUACCUUUGCCUAAUAUCGCAUUCUUCUGGGUUUCAUUUCGGGCUUAUUCUCAUUGGAGAGCCCUUCAGGUUUGUACUACUAUUAGAUUUGCAAUGCACUUGCAGUUUAUUAUUCUCCCUCUAUAAUAAUUUAUGGUAAUCUGUCUAUUUUGAAUACAAACACUAGCAUGCAAUUUCGUGUUAUUUCAAAUACAAACACUAGUUAUUAUUCACUUUAGAGUUUAGAUUUUAGACUACCAUUUUAAUUUUUAACCAAGUCUCAAGUCUUUGCUAUUACAAUUUGGCAUGUUUGUUUUGCUUGAAAUGACUUAAUUCUAUGCAAACAUGGUGAUUAUUAUGCUAGGGAUGUUUAUGGUAUACUGAUUAUUAUGUUUAUUAUGCACAUUAGGAACACAAUCAGGAAAAUGUCAUGCAUCUCUAGCCGCAUUUAUGAUUCCUAAGUAACAAAUGAAUAAACAAAAUUCAGUGUCUUAGCUUCAACCAAGGCAUCACCAAAAUGUUCAGCAAUCUCAGGUCAACAAGAACUUGCCUUUAGGUUUUACUAGUCUCUUCCUUGUGUAGUAAAUUAUGAAAUCCAAUAGAAUAAUACAUACAGCACUUGUCAAAAUGAUCACCACCAAUAAUCGCCUAUUAUGUUGUUUUCUGCCACCAACCUAUAAUUUAGACUGGCAUAAAUUAAUUGAGAGUGAAACUUUUUCUUUUUCGUAACAAGAAUCGAGGGACAAUUUUGUGUAGCAGGAACUUGAAUUAGUACAAAAUAUAAUUUAACUACAAAAUAAAGUAAAACUGUUGUAUGCCAGAUUUCUUAGUAAUUUAGACUUACCCUCUCUUUAUUUUGUUGAUAUUUGAACUCAUUUAUAGUUUGAUAGUGUUACAAAUUUGAAGAUAUAUUCCAGGAGGUGUAUAAAGAGAGAUGGAAGCAAAAAUUUGAAGAACAUUCAAUAUGGUAUGAGCAUAGGCUAAUUGAUGAUAUGGUGGCAUAUGCACUCAAAAGUGAAGGUGGAUAUGUUUGGGCUUGCAAGAAUUAUGAUGGUGACGUCCAAAGUAAUUUACUUGCCUAAGGUGUAAAAUACAUCUGGACCAUUCUGAUUAGAUUCAUUCUUGAUCCAAACUGUCAAAAGUGGUUGUAGAUUCACUAGUUUUAGUUUGGAAAACCAUACUGGAGCAAUGUAUCAAUGAACAUAGCCAAAAUUUCCUGCAAUAACACAGAUUUGUAUGAUUUAUUACUUUUUAA